rnacentral:rRNA from 1 species
CUUGGUCAUUUAGAGGAAGUAAAAGUCGUAACAAGGUUUCCGUAGGUGAACCUGCGGAAGGAUCAUUACCUAGAGUUGUAGGCUUUGCCUACCAUCUCUUACCCAUGUCUUUUGAGUACUUACGUUUCCUCGGUGGGUUCGCCCGCCGAUUGGACAAUUUAAACCAUUUGCAGUUGCAAUCAGCGUCUGAAAAACAUAAUAGUUACAACUUUCAACAACGGAUCUCUUGGUUCUGGCAUCGAUGAAGAACGCAGCGAAAUGCGAUAAGUAGUGUGAAUUGCAGAAUUCAGUGAAUCAUCGAAUCUUUGAACGCACAUUGCGCCCCUUGGUAUUCCAUGGGGCAUGCCUGUUCGAGCGUCAUUUGUACCUUCAAGCUUUGCUUGGUGUUGGGUGUUUGUCUCGCCUUUGCGUGUAGACUCGCCUUAAAAGAAUUGGCAGCCGGCGUAUUGAUUUCGGAGCGCAGUACAUCUCGCGCUUUGCACUCAUAACGACGACGUCCAAAAGUACAUUUUAACACUCUUGACCUCGGAUCAGGUAGGGAUACCCGCUGAACUUAAGCAUAUCAAUAAGCGGAGGA